CGAUUAGGUCAACUCUUAACCUAAUCGGGUCAAACCUAACUGAAUCCAAUUCAAUUGGACUUGAUCCAAAAAUAAUUACUCAAUCAAAUUGAGUUAAUUAGAGAUCAAAUCACCAAUUAAAUCUCUCAUAAAUAUUGAGUCCAAAUCCGAUGGACAAUUAGGCAUCAGAGACAAUCGAUAUGAAACCCUGAUCAAAGAGUUCAAAUUUCAAAUUCAAAAUUUGAAAUUCAAAAUUUUGACCUCGGUACCCAAAAUGUGUGGAACUCAUGAUCAGAGAAUCUUAAUUCUCAAUCAUAGAGUUCCAGACACAUAAGACUCAUAAUCAG
rnacentral:lncRNA from 1 species